CUAGCACCCACAAAAUUGCGGUCUAUUGUAGGCACCACAGAGACUAAAAAAUUAUUACACUCACUGUUGGCAGCUGCUGUCGGCUGAGAUGCUGGACAGGAACUACAGCUGACUACAGAAAUAUCUAUGCUCUGUUGGGUGGCAGAAGAUUAAACAGUGAACCCCAAUCAGGCUGGAAACAGAAACGUGCUUAGUAUGAACAGACAGCUGUGCGGAGUGAGAAAGUUUUAGGAACAGUCAGGAAACUACAGUUCCAGUAGAACAGAAUUCCCAACAGAGAGCUGGCACUGCCUUCAUAAUUUUUUGGAGAGCUUUCCUUACCUCCCGUGAACAUCUCAUAUCAUAAAUACUUCAAAUACUUGAGGUGGCUGAAAGGCACAUUUUCAGCUCAUUAGAGGAGCAAAAAGUUGAAGAAGAGAUGCUGCCAUAGAUUUUUUGAAGAAAAUCCAAUUUAGCUCUUGCGUCUUCGUCUGAUUUAUUGAAGAACAAGAGCAACAAAAGAGAAAUGGAAAAAGAAA